ACAGAAGAACAGAGGGUCUCAAGCUUCAACAAUACGACACAGUUUAAAGAAAGUUUUCGUGCCAAAAAACGAAUUCCUUUCAGCCCGGCAACUAGUCAAGAAGCACGAAUAUUUACCAAAAAACGAGCACGAAUAAAAUAAUAAACAAUACUCCAAAAAAUGAAAAUAAUAAAUAAAUAUACAAUAUUUUAAUAUAUUUUUUUCCUUAGGUGCGGAUGACAUGAGAAACCUUGCAUCUUUCGCUCCGAAUGGCGGUGCGUUUCGGACGCUUUUGAGAAUCCGUAACAGAACACGAUAUUCCCGCUGAUAUUGGACUCAAUAAUUUCGGACCCCGUGAUGGUGACCGACGAUUAUAUCACCGUCAACGGCAACGGAAGUGGCAUGUUUGGUAAGACGGAGGAGGAUCAUAUCAAGAGACUCCACAAACACGAGGUCGGAGACCACCAGUGUAGUUCUUCGCUCGUUAAACACAUCAAAGCUCCUGUUCCUCGAGUUUGGUCUUUGGUGAGGAGAUUUGAUCAACCGCAGAAGUAUAAGCCAUUUGUUAGCCGAUGCAUUGUAGAGGGUGACCUCCAGAUUGGAAGUGUCAGAGAGGUGAAUGUUAAGUCAGGACUUCCAGCUACAACUAGCACUGAAAGGUUGGAGCUGCUAGAUGAUGAAGAGCAUAUUUUUAGCAUGAGGAUUGUUGGAGGAGAUCACAGGCUUAAGAACUACUCUUCCAUUGUUACCGUGCAUCCAGAGGUCAUUGAUGGGAGACCAGGAACCUUAGUAAUUGAAUCAUUUGUGGUGGACGUACCAGAUGGAAAUACCAAGGAUGAGACAUGCUUUUUUGUUGAGGCUUUUAUCAAAUGGAACCUCAAGUCUCUAGGUGAUGUCUCUGAGUGUUCGGCUGUGCUGGACCGGACAGAAUCAGUUGACAGAAUCUGAAUCUUGACGGUCAGGUUAGUAAGAUAGAGGUUCCCUAUUGCUGUGGGUGGAGAAAGUGAAGCAUGUUAUGUCAGAAUGGUUAUAAUUAUGGACAUUUUAGCAGGGUCUUGGUUCUCAACUUCUAAUAGUUGCCUAUUAGAAUUAAAGGAAGAGAUUAAGGGAAAGUUGAGUUUUUUGAAUUUGCUCUUGACUCUAGAAAGAGGAUGCGAGCAUAGUGAUAUGUUAUUAUUUAUGUAUAAAGUUAUGUAUAUAAUAUUACUCUUUGCAUAUUGGAUUGAAAUGUACAAGCCAAUCGCCUGUAGGAAGGCUUUUGAUUUGUAUUAUGAAAAAAACAUAUAUAUAGAUGCCAUUGCAGAUGGGGAAGUACAUCUUCUGCUAUUUGUGAUAA